rnacentral:lncRNA from 1 species
GCAGGAAUAAAGAGGAAGAAAACGAAAAAAAAUGGCAGUAGCACUAAGACAACCACUUCUGGUGGUUGCCACUCACCUGGGGAUAUUCAGGACUUUGUGAAGGUGCUGCGUUCCCCACAUUGGACAAAUGGAAGGUGAGAGAGUGCUGAGACUCCUCCCUGGCUUGCUCUCUCCAGCUGUGCAUGCCCUUAGGCUUCUCUGGUUUUGGGGGAUACUUUGCCUUUGGCUUAUUAUAUUUUGCUGCCUUAACCUUCA